rnacentral:misc_RNA from 1 species
AGCACUAUUCGGUUUGUAUAUUCAGUUCAGUUCAGUUUUCAGAACGAACAAAACUGCAAUAACCCGCAUGGCCAAAGGCCAAAUGUGAAGAUUCCCAUGAUUGGGUUUGUGAUUUUUUCUUUCGAACUCUAUUGUCUUCAAAUUUCUAAUAUGUCAUAAACUGAUGAAUUUGAAUGCCUCAAAUUUAAAUUGGAUCUUCUAUUUUUUUGUUUUUUUU